GUAGAGAGGUUCUCUCCCGCCGCCUGUCGUUCACUUCCGGUUCCUCGAGCGGGGUCUGUGAGGGGCACGGGCUGUGCAGGAAAUCGCGUCUUUUCGGCCUUUGGAGGCACGGGAAGCUGGGCGGAGCCUUAAGCACAAUUUGUGGCGCGGAGGGCGGCUUUUGGGCUCUCCACACUAGGGGAGCUGAGCCGCGCGGGGCUCAGAGCGAGCCAGCAGGUCGCCGAGGGUCGCUGGUGGUGAGGGAGACCUUGGGCGAUGGUGGCGAACGCGCUUGCCUCUGUCCGAGGACCCGGUUAGCUCGUCUCACUUCUGUUCUGGAGGAGCUGCAGUCCGAAACCAGCUUACGCAUUCUCUCCGCAUAACGAUGGGGUGACAGGCAACCUUGGAAAACGCCCCCCAAGCCGCGUAAAAAUAGUUAAAGGUCUACAGAUCAUCUGUGCUAGGCAGUAGGUUGCUGAGAGACUGAAGAAAACACCUGAAGAUGGCACUCUCGCUACAGGGCCCAAGGCAGUGGGGACAACCAACCAUGGACUAAAAGCUAUACAACCAUGAGCCAAAAUAAACCUUUCCUCUUUUUUAAAAUUGAUUGUCCCAAGUAUUUUGUCACAAGCCCUCACACUCACCAGUGCAUCUCCUUUACAAUAAAACUAAUCAUUUUAACAUAGUGCUUUCGGCGACUUCAUAAGCUAGUCUACUGAAUUAUCAAACGAGGGGCUUGUGGAACCCCC
rnacentral:lncRNA from 1 species